rnacentral:rRNA from 1 species
UGGGGAAUAUUGCACAAUGGGCGCAAGCCUGAUGCAGCCAUGCCGCGUGUAUGAAGAAGGCCUUCGGGUUGUAAAGUACUUUCAGCGAGGAGGAAGGCGUUGUGGUUAAUAACCGCAGCGAUUGACGUUACUCGCAGAAGAAGCACCGGCUAACUCCGUGCCAGCAGCCGCGGUAAUACGGAGGGUGCAAGCGUUACUCGGAAUUACUGGGCGUAAAGCGCACGCAGGCGGUCUGUCAAGUCGGAUGUGAAAUCCCCGGGCUCAACCUGGGAACUGCAUCCGAAACUGGCAGGCUAGAGUCUUGUAGAGGGGGGUAGAAUUCCAGGUGUAGCGGUGAAAUGCGUAGAGAUCUGGAGGAAUACCGGUGGCGAAGGCGGCCCCCUGGACAAAGACUGACGCUCAGGUGCGAAAGCGUGGGGAGCAAACA